rnacentral:rRNA from 1 species
UUGAAGAGUUUGAUCAUGGCUCAGAUUGAACGCUGGCGGCAGGCCUAACACAUGCAAGUCGAACGGUAACAGGAAGCAGCUUGCUGCUUUGCUGACGAGUGGCGGACGGGUGAGUAAUGUCUGGGAAACUGCCUGAUGGAGGGGGAUAACUACUGGAAACGGUGGCUAAUACCGCAUAACGUCGCAAGACCAAAGAGGGGGACCUUCGGGCCUCUUGCCAUCAGAUGUGCCCAGAUGGGAUUAGCUUGUUGGUGAGGUAACGGCUCACCAAGGCGACGAUCCCUAGCUGGUCUGAGAGGAUGACCAGCCACACUGGAACUGAGACACGGUCCAGACUCCUACGGGAGGCAGCAGUGGGGAAUAUUGCACAAUGGGCGCAAGCCUGAUGCAGCCAUGCCGCGUGUAUGAAGAAGGCCUUCGGGUUGUAAAGUACUUUCAGCGGGGAGGAAGGUGUUGCGGUUAAUAACCGCAGCAAUUGACGUUACCCGCAGAAGAAGCACCGGCUAACUCCGUGCCAGCAGCCGCGGUAAUACGGAGGGUGCAAGCGUUAAUCGGAAUUACUGGGCGUAAAGCGCACGCAGGCGGUCUGUCAAGUCGGAUGUGAAAUCCCCGGGCUCAACCUGGGAACUGCAUUCGAAACUGGCAGGCUUGAGUCUUGUAGAGGGGGGUAGAAUUCCAGGUGUAGCGGUGAAAUGCGUAGAGAUCUGGAGGAAUACCGGUGGCGAAGGCGGCCCCCUGGACAAAGACUGACGCUCAGGUGCGAAAGCGUGGGGAGCAAACAGGAUUAGAUACCCUGGUAGUCCACGCCGUAAACGAUGUCUACUUGGAGGUUGUGCCCUUGAGGCGUGGCUUCCGGAGCUAACGCGUUAAGUAGACCGCCUGGGGAGUACGGCCGCAAGGUUAAAACUCAAAUGAAUUGACGGGGGCCCGCACAAGCGGUGGAGCAUGUGGUUUAAUUCGAUGCAACGCGAAGAACCUUACCUGGUCUUGACAUCCACAGAAGAAUCCAGAGAUGGAUUUGUGCCUUCGGGAACUGUGAGACAGGUGCUGCAUGGCUGUCGUCAGCUCGUGUUGUGAAAUGUUGGGUUAAGUCCCGCAACGAGCGCAACCCUUAUCCUUUGUUGCCAGCGAUUAGGUCGGGAACUCAAAGGAGACUGCCAGUGAUAAACUGGAGGAAGGUGGGGAUGACGUCAAGUCAUCAUGGCCCUUACGACCAGGGCUACACACGUGCUACAAUGGCGCAUACAAAGAGAAGCGACCUCGCGAGAGCAAGCGGACCUCAUAAAGUGCGUCGUAGUCCGGAUUGGAGUCUGCAACUCGACUCCAUGAAGUCGGAAUCGCUAGUAAUCGUGGAUCAGAAUGCCACGGUGAAUACGUUCCCGGGCCUUGUACACACCGCCCGUCACACCAUGGGAGUGGGUUGCAAAAGAAGUAGGUAGCUUAACCUUCGGGAGGGCGCUUACCACUUUGUGAUUCAUGACUGGGGUGAAGUCGUAACAAGGUAACCGUAGGGGAACCUGCGGUUGGAUCACCUCCUU